rnacentral:rRNA from 1 species
GACGAACGCUGGCGGCGUGCUUAACACAUGCAAGUCGAACGGUGAAGCGCCUUCCUUUUUGGUGGGUGUGGAUGAGUGGCGAACGGGUGAGUAACACGUGAGUAACCUGCCCCCUUCUUCUGGAUAACCGCAUGAAAGUGUGGCUAAUACGGGAUAUUCUGGGUCUGUCGCAUGAUGGGUCUGGGAAAGAUAUUGUUUCGGUGGGGGAUGGGCUCGCGGCCUAUCAGCUUGUUGGUGGGGUGAUGGCCUACCAAGGCGGUGACGGGUAGCCGGCCUGAGAGGGUGGACGGUCACACUGGGACUGAGACACGGCCCAGACUCCUACGGGAGGCAGCAGUGGGGAAUAUUGCACAAUGGGCGCAAGCCUGAUGCAGCGACGCCGCGUGAGGGAUGGAGGCCGUCGGGUUGUGAACCUCUUUCGCCAGUGAAGCAGGCCUGCCUCGUUUGGGGGUGGGUUGACGGUAGCUGGAUAAGAAGCGCCGGCUAACUACGUGC